CAUGAUGUCCCUUCACAUCUUCAAAAGAAACUAUUGAAAUAAAAUUUGAAGAAAAUAUUCAUAAAUGAAGAAAGUGAGAACCUUUCUAAUGCCUGGAGAUUUAAAUACCAAAUUCCUGCCAAAAUGUAUCAUGGUUAUCUGGAGGUGAACGGGAGAUGUAAUGACUUCCUUUUUUGUCUUGGAGGCCUCCUAAAUGCCAUUGAGAGACGUAAGAUGUCUCAAUCUCGCUUAAAGCAAACGGGAAGCCAAGGGUUUUUAAAGGUGAAAUGGAUCUUGCUAAUGAAGAAGUAUCGCUCUUCGUGGGGCGUGCAUCUUGUUAGUUCGAGUUAGGAAUCCAAAUUCCAGAUGACAGUACUUAGCAAAAGUGAAGCACAAGAACUUCAUCAUCCUAAAAUAAAAAGUAAAUCUCAGAGAAUGAGAAACUCAGAUCGGGCACAGUGAUUCCAAAUUUGGCCCAACGUUAUGUUUCUGAACUAUUUUGUAAAGCUCUUUGUUCAAAAGCAAUAUAAACACAUGUUUAACCUUUAUCAUUCUAGCAUCUUAAAUAUUAAUGUUGGUUGUGAUUCUGCAUUAACAACAUCUAUUAUUUUUGCACUAAUAAGAGGCUUACAAGAAUAAACAUGAAAGGCUUGGAGCAACCUUCCUGUCAAUUAAGAAACAGUCAGGAGUACUUCAAAUGAACAGUUCCAGCGGAUCUCAGCAACUGGAAUCCGAGUGGAAAUGCAUGCUUCGAGAGCCACAAAAGAGGCUCCAACCCAUGACUAUAGGUCUUGCAAACUAUCCCCGACACACACUUCUACACCCCCAUCUUGUAAAGCUAGCUACUAAUACUCAAUAGUAAAAGGCAUUCUUUUUGGACCAUUUAUUUGAAAGCAUAAUAGUUUGGCAUUUUUCUGCAAGAAACACUAAUAAACCUCAGGAGGAGUCGCAUCUGUUGCUGGAGUACAAAAUGGGUUGGGCCUCAAUAGCAUAAUAUAUAUAAACACUUUUUCCCCCUAAUGAACUG